rnacentral:rRNA from 1 species
AGUGAACGCUGGCGGUAGGCCUAACACAUGCAAGUCGAACGGCAGCACAGGAGAGCUUGCUCUCUGGGUGGCGAGUGGCGGACGGGUGAGGAAUACAUCGGAAUCUACUUUUUCGUGGGGGAUAACGUAGGGAAACUUACGCUAAUACCGCAUACGACCUACGGGUGAAAGCAGGGGACCUUCGGGCCUUGCGCGAUUGAAUGAGCCGAUGUCGGAUUAGCUAGUUGGCGGGGUAAAGGCCCACCAAGGCGACGAUCCGUAGCUGGUCUGAGAGGAUGAUCAGCCACACUGGAACUGAGACACGGUCCAGACUCCUACGGGAGGGAGCAGUAGGGAAUAUUGGACAAUGGGCGCGAGCCUGAUCCAGCCAUACCGCGUGGGUGAAGAAGGCCUUCGGGUUGUAAAGCCCUUUUGUUGGGAAAGAAAUCCAGCUGGCUAAUACCCGGUUGGGAUGACGGUACCCAAAGAAUAAGCACCGGCUAACUUCGUGCCAGCCGCCGCAGUAA